UCGUUAUCAAGAAAGGCUGAGGGAAUAGACCCGAUGAAGCCUUAGCAACCCUUUACACAUAAAGAAGGUGCUACAUUCUACUGCGCAAGCGGAUAGAUAACAA
rnacentral:ncRNA from 14 species